ensembl:snoRNA SNORA74 Small nucleolar RNA SNORA74
CCCAGCGGCAGUCAGCUGCGCAGGCGUGCUGCCGUGCCUGCGCCGGUGUUACUCCGCUGGGAGAGGAAGGCGCUGCCUGUGUGGUCGGGCUCUAGGAGGCGCUGUUUUAGCGGCUGCUGGUGCCGGGCUGUGGCAGUGCUUUGCCCCUCCGAGAGUGGGCUGCCCCCCAACACUGGGGGCAGCCCUAGUCUGGGGGCACACAGA